rnacentral:rRNA from 1 species
ACCGGGACUUCGGUCCCGGGGACAGCGGCGAACGGGUGAGUAACACGUGGAUAACCUGCCCUCGGCACCGGAAUAGCCCGGGGAAACUCGGAUUAAUGCCGGAUAGCCCCACAUCCCUGCGGGGAACGUGGGAAAAGGUAGCUUCGGCCUCUGGCCGAGGAUGGGUCCGCGGUGGAUUAGCUUGUUGGUGCGGGUAAUGGCCCACCAAGGCGACGAUCCAUAGCUGGUCUGAGAGGACGAUCAGCCACACUGGGACUGAGACACGGCCCAGACUCCUACGGGAGGCAGCAGUGGGGAAUCUUGCGCAAUGGGCGAAAGCCUGACGCAGCGACGCCGCGUGCGGGAAGAAGGCCUUCGGG